rnacentral:rRNA from 1 species
UACGGGGGGGGCAAGCGUUGUUCGGAAUUACUGGGCGUAAAGGGCUCGUAGGUGGCCAACUAAGUCAGACGUGAAAUCCCUCAGCUUAACUGGGGAACUGCGUCUGAUACUGGAUGGCUUGAGUUUGGGAGAGGGAUGCGGAAUUCCAGGUGUAGCGGUGAAAUGCGUAGAUAUCUGGAGGAACACCGGUGGCGAAGGCGGCAUCCUGGACCGACACUGACGCUGAGGUGCGAAAGCGUGGGGAGCAAACAGG